rnacentral:rRNA from 1 species
CCGAGUUUCACUCCCAAACCCCUGUGAUCAUACCUAUACGUUGCCUCGGCGGAUCAGCCCGCGCCCCGUAAAACGGGACGGCCCGCCCGAGGACCCUAAACUCUGUUUUUAGUGGAACUUCUGAGUAAAACAAACAAAUAAAUCAAAACUUUCAACAACGGAUCUCUUGGUUCUGGCAUCGAUGAAGAACGCAGCAAAAUGCGAUAAGUAAUGUGAAUUGCAGAAUUCAGUGAAUCAUCGAAUCUUUGAACGCACAUUGCGCCCGCCAGUAUUCUGGCGGGCAUGCCUGUUCGAGCGUCAUUUCAACCCUCAAGCUCAGCUUGGUGUUGGGACUCGCGGUAACCCGCGUUCCCCAAAUCGAUUGGCGGUCACGUCGAGCUUCCAUAGCGUAGUAAUCAUACACCUCGUUACUGGUAAUCGUCGCGGCCACGCCGUAAAACCCCAACUUCUGAAUGUUGACCUCGGAUCAGGUAGGAAUACCCGCG